CUGAACCCCCUCUCCGUUUUUAAUUGCGCGCGCGGACAUCGGUUCAAAACAGUCGGAGAGGACAGUCGGAGAGGACAACUACUUUAUUCUGCUUGCUUCUGCUGCUUGGAACCUUAAUUUGACAGAACAUAUGGUCAGUUCCUAAAAGAGCACUGCAUAGCAUAGGAGGCCAGUUACUGUUGACCCCAAAGAGAUUUCUACUGAUACAUUGACAAGGUAUGUCUUCCUCUACUUGAACUUGAAACUGAACAUUUUAUUUAUUUUAUGAGAAGAGCAAUCGUUCACACAAGAACAAGGUAAUAUUCAAUUCAUUAAAUAUUUUAGAAUGUGUGGAAUAUGUACAUUAGCUAAAGUAUAUGGUCAUAGUAAAAUAUUUAAUUUUCUUUGUUUUCAUUACAUGGCGGAGUCUGACAGAUUGUUAUUAAGAGUCUUCGUAGUCACAGAUAUUGCUCACAAGAUGUUGCUUCCAACAUGCCCCACAUCAGUGCAAGAGCUAAUCACCAUAAUGCGAGAGAAAUUUAAACCUCAUCUUGAUUUUGACUUCAACUUACAAUAUGAAGACUCUGACUUUGGAGGACAGCUCUGCAUUCUUUCAGACAUUACAGAACUGCCACAAAAGGCUGUAGAGAAGGUUUUCAGAUCAGAGAGUGAUACUAGCUCAACUGGAACUUCAGACACAGAU